rnacentral:rRNA from 1 species
GACGAACGCUGGCGGCGUGCUUAACACAUGCAAGUCGAACGAAGUGGCGAACGGGUGAGUAAUACGUGGGUAACCUGCCCUCCUUUUUGGGAUAAGCCUUGGAAACGGGGUCUAAUACCGAAUAAAGGGGGAUGGGCUCGCGGCCUAUCAGCUUGUUGGUGGGGUGAUGGCCUACCAAGGCGGUGACGGGUAGCCGGCCUGAGAGGGCAAACGGCAACAUAGGGACGGUCAUACGGCCCAGGCGAGGAAGCGGGGGAGAAGUGGGGGAUAUGGCAGAAUGCGCGAAAGCCUGAUGCAGCGAGGCCGAGGAGGGGAUGAGGGUUUUCGGGUUGUAAACGUCUGUCGGUAUGGAACCGGUAGGUGGAGAAGAAGCGCCGGCUAACUACGUGCCAGCAGCCGCGGUAAUUC